CGACGGCUCUUCCUGCCUCCUGGUCCUCAGGAGUUGGCGGCUCUUUCUGACAGCUGAAAGCCGGCCGGGGGCCUCCGGGAGGGCUCUCCAAGAGUGGGCAGAGACGCCUCAGCCCCCUGGUGGCCCGAGCGCACCCCCGCGCCCCGCGUCUCGGGGUCCAUCGCUCCCCUCGCCCCUCCUUUCCGCCUCUCCUCGCUCUGCCUCUCUCGAUUUAUUUUUUCAAAUGGUGUAGCCGCCAGAGGUGCGGUGCUAAAUUCUUGGAAGGGGCCCGGAUGUACUGAAGAUGCAUUACAAUCUUACUAAAGGAGGCAGUAGUGGAAAGGAGCAGUUUUUGGUGUUUGAUGCAAUAAUGGGAAUCAGGUAAUCAUCAGGAGGGAAGAAGAAACACUGCGGAUCCACGGCUUCCCCGAAUUUUGCACGAGAGCAGCCGACCUCGGAGGAGGGAUUAAUCCAGACCCGCUUGGGGGUGUUUUCACAUUUCUUCCUCUUUGUGGCUUCUUCUCCCCUUCAAACAGUUUUUGGUUAAUGGUCAAUGAAAAUACGAGGAUGUACAUUCCUGAGGAAAACCACCAAGGUUCCAACUAUGGGAGUCCACGCCCAGCUCAUGCCAACAUGAAUGCCAAUGCAGCUGCGGGGCUGGCCCCCGAGCACAUCCCCACCCCUGGGGCAGCCCUAUCGUGGCAGGCAGCCAUCGAUGCGGCCCGGCAGGCCAAGCUGAUGGGCAGUGCUGGGAAUGCGACCAUCUCUACUGUCAGCUCUACACAGCGAAAGCGGCAACAAUACGGGAAACCCAAGAAGCAGGGUGGCACUACCGCCACGCGGCCGCCCCGGGCCCUGCUCUGCCUGACUCUGAAGAACCCCAUCCGGAGAGCGUGCAUCAGCAUUGUCGAAUGGAAACCAUUUGAAAUCAUUAUUUUACUGACUAUAUUUGCCAAUUGUGUGGCCUUAGCAAUCUAUAUUCCUUUCCCAGAAGAUGAUUCCAACGCCACGAAUUCCAACCUGAGAAUAUCAUUGUAA
rnacentral:lncRNA from 1 species